UGGGGAAUUUUGGACAAUGGGGGAAACCCUGAUCCAGCCAUCCCGCGUGUGCGAUGAAGGCCUUCGGGUUGUAAAGCACUUUUGGUAGGAAAGAAACGUCAUGGGUUAAUACCCCGUGAAACUGACGGUACCUGCAGAAUAAGCACCGGCUAACUACGUGCCAGCAGCCGCGGUAAUACGUAGGGUGCAAGCGUUAAUCGGAAUUACUGGGCGUAAAGCGUGCGCAGGCGGUUCGGAAAGAAAGAUGUGAAAUCCCAGAGCUCAACUUUGGAACUGCAUUUUUAACUACCGGGCUAGAGUGUGUCAGGGGGAGGUGGAAUUCCGCGUGUAGCAGUGAAAUGCGUAGAUAUGCGGAGGAACACCGAUGGCGAAGGCAGCCUCCUGGGAUAACACUGACGAUCAUGCACGAAAGCGUGGGGGGCAAACAGG
rnacentral:rRNA from 1 species